AAUUAUAUAUAUUUAUAUAUACAUUAUAUAUACAUUAUAAUGUGUAUAUAAUGCAUAUAUAUAGUAGAAGAAUUUACUUUCUAUAUAGUAAAUUUUGUGUAUACACACACAUACACAUACAAAACUGGAUCAGUAAGGAAUUUACACUUCUUUAGAUGAAGACCCCCAGGAGAGGGUAAGAUGACAGAGUCUCUGGGUCAGAAGUGACCUCAUUUUCCCUGAAAGUUUAUAGGGCAAAGUCACAAGUGAGUCUGUUAUGUUUGGGGUGUUUGUCCUCUUCAAAUCUCAUGUUGAAAUGUAACCGUCACUGUUAGAGGUGAGACUUGGUGGGAGGUGAUUUGAUCAUGGGGGUGGAUCCUUCACAAAUGGCUUAGCACCAUUUCUUGGUGAUGUUCUCUCCCAGUUAGUUCACAUGAGAACUGGUUGUUUAAAAGAAUCUGAGACCUCCCCCUUCUCUCUUUUGCGCCCUGUCUUUACCAUGUGAUGUGCUGGCUCCCCUUCACUUUGUGCCAUGAUUGAAAGCUUCCUGAGGCCUUCACAAGAAGCUGAUGCUGGCACCAUGCUUCCUGUACAGCCUGCAGAAACGUGAGCCAAAUCAAAGCCUGUUUUCUUUAUAAAUUACCUAGUCUCAGGUAUUUCUUUAUAGCAGCACAAGAAUGGACUAACACCGAGUCUGUGGGAAAUAGGACUCAAAAAAUUGGUGGCAGGGUGAAGUGUCACCCAAAUACUGGCCAUCAGGCAGGAAUAUGGUCAGGGGGAGUAGGCUGCUCUUAUUUUCUCACUCAAGUUCCCACAGCCUACUUUCAGCUCUCGGGAAUGGGUGAGAACAAAACAUUUUUGUGGGAGUGAAAUAAAUAUCUUUAGAUAAUCCACGUAGGAGGGUAAGGAGGGAAUAACAGGAACUUCAUCAACACAUGAUAUAUUAAUCCAUUUUAACUAUAAAGAACUACCUGAGACUGAGUAAUUUAUGAAGAAAAGAGGUUUAAUUUCCUCACAUUUCCACAGGCUUAACAGGAAGCAUGGCUGGUAACUUACAAUUGUGGUGGAAGGGUUAGGGGAAUCAAGCAUGUCUUACCGUGGUGGAGCAGGAAAGAGCGAGAGUGAAGAGGGAACUGCCACACACUUUUGAACAACCAGAUCUUGUGAGAACUCACUCUCACAAGAAUAGCAAGGGGGAACUCCAUCCCAAUGAUUCAAUCACCUGCCACCAGGCCCCUCCCCCCACAUGUGGGGAUUACAAUUCGAAAUGAGAUUUGGGUGAGGACAGAGCCAAACCAUAUCAUUCCACCCCUGGCCCCUCCAAAAUCUCAUGUCAUCACAUUUCAAAGCCAAGCAUGCCUUCCCAACAGUCCCCCAAAGUCUUAACUCAUUCCAGCAUUAACUCAAAAGUCUAAGUCCAAAGUCUCAUCUGAGACAAGGCAAGCCCCUUCCGCCUAUGAGCCUGUAAAAUAAAAAACAAGUUAGUAACUUCCAAGAUACAAUGGAAAUACAGGAAUUAGGUAAAUGCUCCCAUUGCAAAGGGGGAAAUUGGCCAAAACCAAGGGACUACAGGUCCUAUGCAAGUUCAAAACCUGGCAAGGAAGUCAUUAAAUCUUUUUUUUUUUUUUUUUUUUUUGGAGACAGAGUGUCACCCAGGGUGGAGUGCAGUGGUGCUAUCCUAGCUCACUGCAACCUCCACCUUCUGGGUUCAAGCAAUUCUCCUGCCUUAGCCUCCCGAGUAGCUGGGACUACAGGCACAUACUGCCAUGCCCAGCUAAUUUUUUGUAUUUUAUUAGAGACAGGGUUUCACCGUGUUACCCAGGCUGUUCUUGAACUCCUGAACUCAGGCAAUCCACCCAUCUCGGCCUCCCAAAGUACUAGGAUUACAGGCGUGAGCCACUGUCCCUGGCUGGAAGUCAUUAAAUCUUAAACCUCCAAAAUAAUCUCCUUUGACUCCAUGUCUCACAUCCAGGGCAUGCUGAUGCAAGAGGUGGGCUCCCAAGGCCUUGGGAAGUUUUGCCUCUGUGGCUCUGCAGGGUACAGCCCCCAUAGCUGCUUUCAUGGGCUGGCAUUGAGUGCCUGUGGCUUUUCUGGGCACAUGGUGCAAGCUGUCAGUGGAUGUACCAUUCUGGGGUUUGGAGGAUGGUGGCCCUCUUCUCAUGGUUCCACUAGGCAGUGCCCCGGUGGGGACUCUGUGUCAGGGCUCCAAUCCCACACUUCCCCGCUGCACUGCCCAUGAGGGCUCUGCCCCUGCAGCUGACUUCUGCCUGGACAUCCAGGCAUUGCCAUACAUCCUCUGAAAUCUAGGUGGAGAUUCCAAAACCUCAACUCUUGCCAUCUGCACACCUGCAGGCCCAACAUCACAUGGAAGCUGCCAAAGACUUAGGGCUUGCAAUCUCUGAAGCAAUGGCCCGAGCUGUACCUUGGCCCCUUUUAGCCAUGGCUAGAGCUGGAGUGGCUGGGAUCCAGGGCAUCACGUCCCAAGGCUGCACAGAGCUGCUGGGGCCUGGGCCUGGGCCAUGAAACCAUUUUUUCCUUCUAGGUCUCUGGGCUUGUGAUGGGAGGGGCUGCCUCAGUGGUCUCUGAAAUGCCCAGGAGACAUUUUCCCCAUUGUCUUGGCUAUUUAACUCUUCUUUACUUAUGCAAACUUCUGCAGCAGGCUUGAAUUUCUCCCCAGAAAAUGGAUUUUUCUUUUCUACCACAUGGCCAGGCUGCAAAUUUUCUAAACUUACAUGCUGUACUUCCCUUUUAAAUAUAAGUUCCAGUUUCAGAUCAUCUCUUUGUUCAUGCAUAUGAGCAUACACUUUUAGAAACAGCCAGUUUACCUCCUGAAUGCUUUGCUGCUUAGAAAUUUCUUCCAGCAGAUACCCUAAAUCAUCUCUCUCAAGUUCAAAGUUCCACAGAUCUCUAGGGCAGGGGAAAAAAUGCCACCAGUAUCUUUGCUAAAGCAUAGCAAGAGUGACCUUUACUCUAGUUCUCAAUAAGUUCCUCAUCUCCAUCUGAGACCACUUGAGUCUGGACUUCAUUGUCCAUAUCACUAUCAGCAUUCUCAUCAAAACAAUUGAACAAAUCUUCAUGAAGUUCCAAACUUUCCCACGUCUUCCUGUCUUCUUCUGAGCUUUCCGAACUGUUCCAACCUCUGCCUGUUACCCAGUUCCAAAGUUGCUUCCACAUUUUCAGAUAUCUUUAUAGCUGUUAUAAAUAAUUUUCUGUAUAGUCCAUUUUCACACUGCUAUAAAGAGCUGCCUGAGACUGAGUAAUUUGUGAAGAAAAGAGGUUUAAUUCACUCACAGUUCUGCAGGCUUAACAGGAAGCAUGGCUGGAAAGCCUCAGGAAACUUACAGUCAUGGCAGAACUUAAAGGGGAAGCAAGCAUGUCUUACCAUGGCAGAGCAGGAGAGAGAAAGAGUGAAGGGGAAGUGCCACACACUUUCAAACAACCAGAUCGCAUGAGAAUUCACUCACAGUCAAGAACAGGAAUGGGGAAGUCCGUGCCCAUGAUUCAAUCACCUCUCACCAGACCCCUCCCCUGACAUGUGGGGAUUAAAAUUCAAGAUGAGAUUUGGGUGGGGAUGCAGAGCCAAACCAUAUCACAUGGUCAACACAAGCUUCUUGGUGAUGCCCCAAACUUCAGAACCAGUUAAAGGUUUACCAUCAGCCAGAAGAGCUGUGGGAAUGAGCCUCCCAGAAAGAAGAGAUGGAAGGUGUUUGGCAUCUGCAGUGAUGAUGAUGAUGAUGAUCAUGAUCAUGAUCAUGAUGCUGGCUAAAUGCCGACUCUGAGCCCUGCAUGAUGCAAGCUUUACUGUGAAGUGUUUAUGUGCCAGGCACCAUGUGUAGAAGCGCUGGCCCAGAGAUGAAGAUGAAGUUUCUAUCCUUAAGGCAUGCGAUGUGGGAGAUGAACAGAGACAGGCAAGAGAGCCACAGAGGAGAAAGUGAUGUGAAGACAGAAGCAGGGAUUGGAGUGAUCCAUCUACAAGCCAAGAAAUACCAAUGGUUGCUGCCAGCCACCAGGAUCUAGGAGAGUGGCAUGGAACAGAUUUUCCCUUAGAGCUUCCAGAAAGAACUAACCCUGUCAACACUGUGAUUCUGGACUGUGAGAGAGAAAUUUCUAUUGUUUUAAGCCAUCAAGUUUGUGGUAAUUUGUUAUGGCAACCGUAGGAAACAUCACCCAGUAAAUCCAAAUUAAAUAUUAUCCCAAUUUUUGCUUGA